rnacentral:rRNA from 1 species
GUAGGUGGCAAGCGUUGUCCGGAAUUAUUGGCGUAAAGCGCGCGCAGGCGGUUCUUUAAGUCUGAUGUGAAAGCCCACGGGCUCAACCGUGGAGGGUCAUUGGAAACUGGAGAACUUGAGUACAGAAGAGGAAAGCGGAAUUCCACGUGUAGCGGUGAAAUGCGUAGAGAUGUGGAGGAACACCAGUGGCGAAGGCGGCUUUCUGGUCUGUAACUGACGCUGAGGCGCGAAAGCGUGGGGAGCAAACAGGAUUAGAUACCCUGGUAGUCCACGCCGUAAACGAUGAGUGCUAAGUGUUAGGGGGUUUCCGCCCCUUAGUGCUGCAGCUAACGCAUUAAGCACUCCGCCUGGGGAGUACGGCCGCAAGGCUG